rnacentral:lncRNA from 1 species
GUUGUGCAGCAAUAAAUAGCUAAUAUACAAUAUUUCCACUGAGAAGUUAACUGUUAUUUUGAACUCUGAAUCUCAUAUAGACCAGUGUUCACUUUAUCUUACUCUCUCUCUCUCCUCUCUCUCACUCUCUGUCUCUGAAAUUUCUUCAGAUUUUUUAUUUGUUUCUGGUGCUCUUACUUUUCACAAUGUUGGAACUUAUUGAUGGUUCUGUCUGUGUCUAUUGGGCUGGACAUGCUUUAGGAUCUUUUAUAACCUGUACUCAGUUUGAGUAGUUUCUUGGGUUGAUUCCGUUUUGAUUUUCUCAUUUCUUUGGAAAUUUAUAAUUUUAAAAUUUUGGACCACUGAGAACAUUUUUAAAUUGUCUUAAUCUAACUUUCCACUUCUAUUCUUUUGCCUAUUCUUCUUAGAUAAUUUUUACACUUUAUUUUCAAGCCCUUCUAUUAAUAUUUUUAUUUCUGCUGUGUUAUUUCUAAGACUUACAGAUUUUAUAAUGCUAUUUUUUAGCAUCUCUCCUAUUUUGUGGAUAUGUCAUCUUUUCUCUCUGAAUAUGAUAAUGAGGCUUUCAUUUGUUUUCUAAGUUUUUAUAUCCCUAGGUAUUUACUGUUUUGAUAAUUUUUUCUUCCCUGUUUGUUUGCUUUGCUUUUUUCUUCCAAGAUAAAGCCUGGAAGCUGCACGUCACCUGCCAGCUUUGUGUGUGCCCAGUGAGUGCAGGUGGCAUAAUGACCAGCGGUGACUUGAAUGACAAGGGGACAGAACAGCUGGACAAUCCAAUUCCUAGAUGCUUUCUCCAGUUAUGGCCCUGACUGGGAUCUCCGAAGAAUGACUCAGCUGAAACUGUCAGUGAGGAUGCUUACCUGUGGUCUCCCCAUCAUGGUGGUAUCAGGGUUGUUGAACACCUUACAUGGCUCCAAAAGCAAGUGUUCUGGAAUGUAAGGCAACAGCUGUGUGGUCUUUCAUAAUCCAGCAUCAGAAGUCACAUGGCAUCACUCCUGCUAAAAUUUCUUUGUGGAAGCAGCCACAAAACUGCCCAAAUUCAAGUAGAGGGCACACAGAUCUUAUUUUUUGAUGGGAGGACUCACAAAAAUUUUGCCACCAUAUUAUAAAAACACUAUAAGAUCUAAUAGUAACUUUAACUUUUUUUAACCAAUCCUUCUAUUUUCAGCCCAGACUUCACUUCCUUAUUCAGAUGUAUAAAUGUCUUCUGUGGCUUUGUGAUCAAAUCUGAAUGUUUCUUGGAUUUACCCCUGCCAGCUAAGGAUUUGGCCUUCUUUGAUCUGUUAAAUCAGUUCUCAAACACUGACUUGUUUUCCAUCUAAAAUAUCAGGGUGACCUUUAUCCCAUUCUCAUUGCUUUGAGGAUUUUGUGCCCCCUUUUUUAAAGUCACUUUCUAUGUAUUUUUAUAUGAGUGAGGUUUUGGGAGAAAGUACAGAUAAAUAUAUAUUCUCAAUCUACCACUUUAAUUGAAAAUUCUUGUUUUUUCUUUUACAAAAUUCCUAAUGUUUGCCUAACAAACAUUUAUUGAGAAACUGCUGUAUUUUCAGUAUGUGUUAAGGUCUGUGUACAUCUAUUUUAUAUACAUUAUCUUAUUUAAUAUGCUCAUUUAAUUUCCACAUCUUGUUUAACAUUUAUAAUCUUUUGAUUUGUUAAAUACAAUUUGUAGAAGACCAUUGGUUUAGCGUGAGCUGCACCAGGCCUGGCAGACCAAACCAAAAUGUAGUAUCUCAUACUAAAGUUCCAUGCCACCAAGCUGAAACUAAGUUGUUUAUCUGACUUUCCAAGAAGUCAGGAGAAAGAGAUAACAGUCAAAUCCCCAAAUAUGCUAGUUUGAGUUGGCAUGAUAGGAAAGUUCCUUCCACUUUAGCCUUUAUACGAAAGUAACUUUGGAAUGAUCAGUCUGCUUUUUGUUUCCUGUUUCUGUUUCAGCACUUUUUGUAAAGCCAACUUCUUCUCAGCACAUCAGAACACUCAUUCUACUUUAUAGAAUGAGGUAUAAUCUGAAUCUAAAAUCACAAAUAAAAGCCAAUUAAGAUUUUUAAAGUAAGUUUGUUGUAAUUUUGUCUUUUGACAGAUUUCAUCAUUGCCUACAUUUGUCUUCAGACGACCUGCAGUACAAACUUGGCUUAAACCUGCAGUUGACAAUGGAUUCACCGUGGGAGAAUAAAUUACAAUGGAUAAAAAACAGCAUUACAAUCCCUCAAUAAAAUGGGAUUUUAACAGACAAAGCUCCUGGUAUGUGGUCGUUCUCAGGCCCAAAGGCCCAUUUUGCUUUUGGCUGCAACUCUGUAACUCUGUAACAGAGACCAAGUGCCUGCAGGGAGCAGAUGUUUGGGGCAGUAUCUGCUAAGGUGGCUUUGCUGAAACUUGUUUCUCUCAUUGGGUCUUGGAAGUGGCGAAUAGGACGUUCCUAUAGAAAAACUCAGAAAGAUAAUGAAGCUGCUAUUUGCAAGAACUGCAUCUGUCUGACUCUCAGACAGAUCUACACCAGUGUUUAGCAGACAUGCCAAAUGAUAAGAGUCAAUCACAGCCUCUGUAGAAAAUACUGGAACCCUGAUGUGGACUUACUGAAUCAGAAUCUCCAGGCAAUAAGCUUGAGAUUCUCUGGUUUGUAAAGCCAACCAAGUGAUUUUCUUUCCUUCCUUCCUUCCCUCCUUCCUUCCUUCCUUCCCUCCCUCCCUUCCUCCUUCCUUUCCUUCAUUCCUCCCUCCCUCCUUCCAUCCAUGCCUUCUUCUUUCCUUCCUUCCCUUUUUCCUUCCCUUCCUUCCUCCCUUCUUUCCUUUUUCUUUCUCUUUUUUUCCUUUUUCUUUCUUUCUCUCUCCUUUCCUUUUCCCUUUUUCUCUCUUUCUCUUCUUCCUUCCCUCCCUCCUUCCUUCCUUCCCUCCCUCCUUCCUUCCUUCCCUCCCUCCUUCCUUCCUUCCCUCCCUCCUUCCUUCCUU